rnacentral:rRNA from 1 species
UGGGGAAUAUUGCACAAUGGGCGAAAGCCUGAUGCAGCGACGCCGCGUGCGGGAUGAAGGCCUUCGGGUUGUAAACCGCUUUUAAUUGGGAGCAAGCGAGAGUGAGUGUACCUUUUGAAUAAGCACCGGCUAACUACGUGCCAGCAGCCGCGGUAAUACGUAGGGUGCAAGCGUUAUCCGGAAUUAUUGGGCGUAAAGAGCUCGUAGGCGGUUUGUCACGCCUGGUGUGAAAGUCCAUCGCUUAACGGUGGAUCUGCGCCGGGUACGGGCAGGCUAGAGUGCAGUAGGGGAGAUUGGAAUUCCCGGUGUAACGGUGGAAUGUGUAGAUAUCGGGAAGAACACCAAUGGCGAAGGCAGAUCUCUGGGCUGUUACUGACGCUGAGGAGCGAAAGCAUGGGGAGCGAACAGGAUUAGAUACCCUGGUAGUCCAUGCCGUAAAACGGUGGAUGCUGGAUGUGGGACCCUUCCACG